rnacentral:rRNA from 1 species
UACGGAGGGGACUAGCGUUGUUCGGAAUUACUGGGCGUAAAGCGCACGUAGGCGGAUUUGUAAGUCAGGGGUGAAAUCCCGGGGCUCAACCUCGGAACUGCCUUUGAUACUGCAAAUCUCGAGUCCGGAAGAGGUGAGUGGAAUUCCUAGUGUAGAGGUGAAAUUCGUAGAUAUUCGGAAGAACACCAGUGGCGAAGGCGGCUCACUGGCCCGGUACUGACGCUGAUGUGCGAAAGCGUGGGGAGCAAACAGG